rnacentral:rRNA from 1 species
AUACGUAGGUCCCGAGCGUUGUCCGGAUUUACUGGGUGUAAAGGGUGCGUAGGCGGCUCUGCAAGUCAGGUGUGAAAACCCUCGGCUUAACUGAUGGACUGCAUUUGAAACUGUGGGGCUUGAGUGGAGUAGAGGCAGACGGAAUUCCCGGUGUAGCGGUGAAAUGCGUAGAGAUCGGGAAGAACACCAGUGGCGAAGGCGGUCUGCUGGGCUCUAACUGACGCUGAGGCACGAAAGCAUGGGUAGCAAACAGGAUUAGAUACCCUGGUAGUCCAUGCCGUAAACGAUGAUUACUAGGUGUGGGGGGUCUGACCCUCUCCGUGCCGGAGUUAACACAAUAAGUAAUCCACCUGGGAAGUACGACCGCAAGGUUGAA